CAACCCAUCAUCAUAAAAUUGUAUGAUCAAAUUAAUUUCGCCCACUAAUUAACCCAACAGAUUAUGCUAACAUAUUCACAAUCUACAUAUUUAUAUAUAUUAUCCUUUUUUUUUAUAAAAAAAAAUUGAAGAAAAUGAUAUGGAUCAGAGGGUACAACCGCAGAAGACAAAGAAGAAGCAAAGCAUAGCAGCCAAGACCAAGGACUCUACCACAGUUAUCAAGGUCCACAGCACAUCAUCAAGUAUUGAGAAACGCGGCCAUCUGAAACUCUGCAAAUUCAAGUUCAAGCUCCAACCAGAAGUGAAGUAGGAGAAGUCGAAUAUUUCCGCCCACCGGAAUAUUCCUGCCGAAGGCAUGGAGAACUCAAAGUCCAGCCAGCGGAAAGCAGAAGAGUACCACGUUGCUGCAGGGCACAGGAUGAUAUAUAUAUAUAUAUGAUCUGUGUGUUGUGUUCCUUCCUUGAAUCUUUUUCUUUUAUUUUCUCCUUCUUUUUUGUUGACGGAGCAGAGGUUUCUAGCAUAACAUAAAAGGUAGACUUGGCG
rnacentral:lncRNA from 1 species